rnacentral:lncRNA from 1 species
ACAUUAAUGUCCCUUUGUGUGUGUGUGUGAGUGCUCUGUUCUUCAGAAAAAAAAGUUAAUUCCUAUAGGUAUAGUUUAUAAACUGUAUCUCAUUUUUUAAAAGUUGCCUGUCCUGACAUAAUUAGUGAAUUUAAAGCCUUCUGCAUAUAUUGUUGAUUUGUGGAUAUUUUAAAUGCUAAGUGAAAAAUUUAUCUGUUUAAAUCUUAGGCCAAAUUUUAAUUUUUAUCCCAAAUGGCUUUAUAAAAGCAACCUUUCUCAUGUUCCUG